rfam:Nematostella vectensis strain CH2 x CH6 NEMVEscaffold_232_Cont19872, whole genome shotgun sequence.
GUCAGGAUGGCCGAGUGGUCUUAGGCGCUGCGUUAAGGUCGCAAUCUCGUUCUCCAGGAGUGGGUUCGAAUCCCACUCCAGACA